GCAUAUCAAUAAGCGGAGGAAAAGAAACCAACAGGGAUUACCUCAGUAACGGCGAGUGAAGCGGUAACAGCUCAAAUUUGAAAUCUGGCCGCAAGGUCCGAGUUGUAAUUUGUAGAGGAUGUUUCGAGCAUGGUCUGGCCUAAGUUCCUUGGAACAGGACGUCAUAGAGGGUGAGAAUCCCGUAUGCGGUCAGGUGCCUACGCUCAUGUGAAACUCCUUCGACGAGUCGAGUUGUUUGGGAAUGCAGCUCAAAAUGGGUGGUAAAUUUCAUCUAAAGCUAAAUAUUGGCCAGAGACCGAUAGCGCACAAGUAGAGUGAUCGAAAGAUGAAAAGCACUUUGGAAAGAGAGUUAAACAGUACGUGAAAUUGUUGAAAGGGAAGCGCUUGCAACCAGACUUGCGCGCGGCUGAUCAUCCGGGCUUCUGCCCGGUGCACUCGGUCGCGCUCAGGCCAGCAUCGGUUUUGGUGGCGGGAUAAAGGCCUUGGGAAUGUAGCUCCUCUCGGGGAGUGUUAUAGCCCAGGGUGCAAUGCCGCCUACCGGGACCGAGGACCGCGCUUCGGCUAGGAUGCUGGCGUAAUGGUUGUAAGCGACCCGUCUUGAA
rnacentral:rRNA from 1 species